rnacentral:lncRNA from 1 species
UUUGAUUGCAGUUUUCUUUCUCUUUACAGAAUCUGAGCCAGUCACCAUAAAUAUCCAAGACCUACUUUCCUGUUCUAAUUUUGCAGUGCAACACAGAUAUCUGUUUGAAGAAGACAAUCUUUUACGGUCUACACAAAAGCUUUCCCAUUCAACAAAACCUUCAGGAAGCCCUUUGGAAGAAAAGCACGAUCAGUGCAAAUGUGAAAACCUUAUAAUGUUCCAGAACCUUGCAAACGAAGAAGUAAGAAAAUUAACACAGCGCUUAGAAGAAAUGACACAGAGAAUGGAAGCCCUGGAAAAUCGCCUGAGAUACAGAUGAAGAUUAGAAAUCACGACACAUUUGUAGUCAUUGUAUCGAGGAUUACAAUGAACGCAGUGCAGAGCCCCAAAGUUCAGGCUAUUGUUAAAUCAAUAAUGUUGUGAAGUAAAACAAUCAGUACUGAGAAAGCUGGUUUGCCACAGAACAAAGACAAGAAGUAUAUACUAACUUGUAUAAAUUUAUCUAGGAAAAAAAUCCUUCAGAAUUCUAAGAUGAAUUUACCAGGUGAGAAUGAAUAAGCUAUGCAAGGUAUUUUGUAAUAUACUGUGGACACAACUUGCUUUUGCCUCAUCCUGCCUUAGUGUGCAAUCUCAUUUGACUAUACGAUAAAGUUUGCACAGUCUUACUUCUGUAGAACACUGGCCAUAGGAAAUGCUGUUUUUUUGUAUUGGACUUUACCUUGAUAUAUGUAUAUGGUUGUAUGCAUAAAAUCAUAGGACAUAUGUACUUGUGGAACAAGUUGGAUUUUUUAUACAAUAUUAAAAUUC